rnacentral:lncRNA from 1 species
CCCUUGCCACCCUUGAACUCUCUGGCUCCAGCUUACAAAACUUCUCUCCUUUCACAGAAUGAGGUUGUGGAGCUCGAUCCAUAACAUCCCUCAGCAUAUUCUCAAUAUCAUCAACCAGUCCCCUGACCUCAUUGCCUUCAUCGGCAUUGGUCGAAGUAGCCACACGGGGUUGCCGUGGGCGCCUAGGAGGCAUAGUACCUGAGGAAGAAGAAAUUUAGUAGUCCAUAAACAAGACUAACACAAUAAUCACAUAUACCCAAUAACACAUAGCAUCAAAGGCAUAAAAUGCCAAUGAAUCCGCCGCGGUCGGAUCAUCACUCUAUAGACACUACGUACUACUUGGGCAAAGGUGAUAGUGACAAGGAAGCAGGAAAAGGAAACCUAUAGCUCUGAUACCAACUGACACGACCCACCCCGAAUUUCACCCUGAAACCCAGAGUAAGUCGUGCGGGGACCACCUCCAAGGAAAAUUUACUGAAAAGAUUAAGCAAAUCUCCCUUGCAGAUGGACAACCCUAAGUCGAAAAUUUCAUAUUACACUCUUAAUUUAACGCUUCUGAAUAUCACAUAAUAUACAAAAAUUCUAAAGUAUUCAGAGCUACUAAACACAAGCGGAAGCAAGAAAAUACGAGUAGGUUGAACAGGUAACCUACUGGCGAAAACUGGCCGAAAAGCGGGUGACUAUGCCUCGUCUCCUACUAGAUCCAACCCGAACUCUGCAGACUGGGCAAUUUAAAACGAAGGGCCCAGGGGAAAACAUUUAAUAACGUUAGAGUGAGUGGACAAAAAUAAAUUAAUAAUUAAAAUAUUUAUGUUUCCCCAAACUAAUUUCUAAGGAAAAAUCGAAUGCAUGCCGCAAGCGAUAAAACCUUUAUCCCAUAAAAUAUCGAGCCUCUCAGACUCUAUAAUAUAUGUAUGUAUUUACACUCGUCCAUACUCCCUAUAUAAAUUCAUGGGUCUAUAUAGGGCUACUACGCUCGCGUCCAACGCUCACGUCACGCCUUAAUGCGGUGCUACACUACGCCAUCAAGGUGGACAGACGGGUGUAUAAAUAUGUGCCCAUACCCCCUAUAUGAAUUAAACACUCA